rnacentral:misc_RNA from 1 species
GAUGAAGAACGUAGCGAAAUGCGAUACGUAAUGUGAAUUGCAGAAUUCAGUGAAUCAUCGAGUCUUUGAACGCACAUUGCGCCCUCUGGUAUUCCGGAGGGCAUGCCUGUCCGAGCGUCAUUGCUGCCCUCAAGCACGGCUUGUGUGUUGGGCUCCGUCCCCCGAUCCCGGGGGACGGGCCCGAAAGGCAGCGGCGGCACCGCGUCCGGUCCUCGAGCGUAUGGGGCUUUGUCACCCGCUCUGUAGGCCCGGCCGGCGCUUGCCGAUCAACCAAAUUUUUAUCCAGGUUGACCUCGGAUCAGGUAAGGAUACCCGCUGAACUUAAGCAUAUCAAUAAGCGGAGGA